AAUAAAUCCAAAAUGUAAAAAUAUACAAUCUACUCUGCUUUCCUGCAAUGCUGCGAACCAGCAAAUUUAAAGUUUAUGAUUGUUUAAUUCCGCUAAGAUGACAAGCCAUGACGCUUUGGAUGCAGCGAAAUGUAAAACUUCCUUCGCACGAGCUUGCGUUUCCAGCAUUUAUAUGCGUAUGAAUGGAAGUAAAUGGAAAGAAAAGUGUAGUGUGACCGCCGCUUUACACAAGUUGACCUGUUCUGACAAUCUUAAUAACAAAAUAUCCCAACAUAGGCUGUAAAUCAAAAGUGUAUCCUUCUAUUUCAAUUGAAUAGCUUUCGAUUUCAAGCUUUGUACUUUGAAACAGGUUUUGUGGUUAAACUGACAGUGAUAUGCUAACAUGCCCACUCUCAGCUUGGUUCCUCCUUUCAGAUGUGCAUGCGCUGUGGAGUGUUAGCAUUCGUUUGCUAGAGUCUUGUCUCGACUGCCUUCCACCUGAAAACAUGAGUGCCUAUGACCAUUGUUACACUUUCCCUUCUACAUUCAAGUAUUUCUCGGUGAAGCAUGUUUGUUUUGCCUGUUUCGUGCCUUUUAACAAAAGUGUUUUUAAUAGCUACUUUGGAGGUGAAUUAGAAAUCGGAAGUCAUUUUAAGUUUACCAUGCCACCCUUUUUCUAUUUCUGGCUUUCUGAUUUCACUUCCUCACUUCCUUCGCACCAGACGAGCUGAAAUCAUCAACAGCUACUAAAAUAGACAUGCAGAGCCCAUGUGCUCAGACAGGCCUAUCUGCACACAAAUAAUAAAUAAAUGAUGAAUAAGAGGGAAGCAGAGAGCAGACACUUGUCUGUGUGCUACUGUCUUGACAUUCACUUGUAGAGGCACUUCCCAUUAAGAUGCUUUAUUUAUAGGGGCAGACAAAUAAAUGAAUGUUUAUAGAUGCCACACUAUGCCUAAAGGCUCAAUAAUUAGUAAAAUAAUGAAUGUAUGACCUUGCUGUGUAUUUGCAGACUGGCUCUGUGAUGAAUUAUGUAUUUAAUCACAGCUCUCCUGUCUGAGUUAAAGAAAUCACCCCAGAUGAGCGAUUCGAGAACACUACAAACAUCAGCAUGCUUGUUGGGAUGGAAAGCGUUGUUGCCGUGGUGAUUUCAGUUAGCACUUUUUGUUCUUUGACUAUUUGCUUUUGCACUAUUAUUUUAGAUUUGGUCUGUCUUUGAAGUGCAUGGCACUGACUGUUUCUAAACUAUGGCUUUUUAAAACAUUUUGUAGCAUGGAAUGGUUUCUUCCAUUGAAACGGUGCUCCUUAUGGCCCUGCAUAUUUUGUGCUUACAUAAAAAAAAAAAAAAAAAAAAUUCCCUAAUACUUACUAUAAGACUUUUAUGUUGGCUGCUCAAAUUCUUUGUACCUUGUCCUUUAAUCGAAUAUGCCCUCAUUAACUUCAAGGACAUGUGAUCCAUGUUUUUCUGUAGAAAUUAGGUGGUUUUGUAGAUUUCAAAUAAACAGUAUUAGAAACCAUUAGACAUUAAAAGGAUUGUUCACCCCAAAUGCAAAUUCUGUCAUUUGCUCACCCUCAUGAUGUUUGAAACGUGCAUACAUUUAUUUCUUCAGCAGGACACAAAAUAAGUUAUUUUGAAGAUUGGUUCAGGUGUUUGUUCUGUAUAAUUAAAGUCAAUGGCCUCCAACUCAACUUUAUUGUAUGGACAAGACAUUCAUCAGAAUAUCUUUUUUUUAAAGUUCCACAGAAGUAAAAAGGGUCAUACAAGUUUGAAAUGACAUGAGGGUGAGUAAAUGAUGACAGAAUGUUCAUAUUUGAAUGAACGAUUCAUUUAAAGUGAGAGAUUGGUUCAGGCAUUGACUAACAACAUGAAAGAUCCCUGCUAACAGUAUAACUGCUAGCUAAAUAUGCACUUUACCUUGAAAUUUGAUACAAAUGAUUCAAUUUAACAGUAGUCUUUAGCAACCAAUUGUGAAGUAUUUAUCAGUGCACGUUUACAGGUAAGAUGUGCAUGGGAAUGGUCUAAGCGCUAACUUGUAUGUAAUUAAGUAUAACAGUAGCUUUCAUUACUAAGGAAUUAUCAUGCACUUUUGUCAUGUUGUUGAAAUAAAAAAUCAGCCAUGUUCAAAAAGUUCAUCCAAAACCCUUACAGAUACUUAAUGUUAUUCUAAAUGUUUAUCAUGUUCAUUAUUAAUGACACAAUGUGGUUGUAGUUCUAUGUAUUUAAUAACAGUACAGCAUUAGAAACCCACUAUAAGAAUUGGGAGAGCACUUGAGAAUUGCGGUCUAUUGUUGUGUUGCUGUGCCUUUAAUUGGGGGGGUCGUACUGAAGAGAGGUCACUGCCUUUAGUUUUGAUCAAGGUAAUUGUAGUGCACUAACAAACACACACUACACCACACACUUCAGCUGACAGCCAGCAGACCACUGUAUUGCUCCUUCUGCAUGCCUGUGGCCAGCAUGUAGCAAUACCAUUUGCUUUGAGUGAUGUGAAGUAUUUUUAUGCUUUUCCCUCUAAAUAUUUGGGUGUUUUCAUCCCUCUUUGAUUGUGCUGAGCUGAGUGGAAACCUGUGCUUGUUGUGAACAGUGAUCAUACUUGUUUGGAUGAGAGUGAAUGUAAACACAUGCACAUUAACAGAGUGUCAGAGGCACACUUGCGCCCUCUACAGUCAAAUGAAGGUCAGGGGUUUAUUUUAUUUUAUUUUCUAUUUUAUUUUAUUUUUUAAAGGUAAUAUAAAUUGGUGUAUGACAAGGGAAACAUGUUACAAAACAUUCUUUUUGGAAUAUGACUUUGGUUUAGGUGUAUUUUUGUAAAAUACUAAUACCAGAGAGCAGUUAUUGUGGUGAUUUUUUUAAUUUUUAAUUUUUUUUUUUUUUUUAACUUUCAACAUUUGUAUUAAACUGGAAAGGUUAACCACAUCUUAUUGCUUGUAAAAUUAACACUCUGACCUCAGGUCCUAGGCAGAGACCACUUCAAGCCCUUGUUAGUUUCUGUGUUUCAACAGAGGGGCUCUCCAGCCAACUUCCUUUCUGUGCUUGGAAAUCCACCUUCAUCUCCAUGAAAGAAAAGGGCCGUAUUACUUUUCUGAACAACAUCUGUCAGAUAUAGUGGAGCACUUGUAUGCCCUUUGACAAACCCUGCCCCCCUUUCUGCUGGUGGUGAGGUGAUCUGUUUAAAUGGUCCUUGCUAUUUUUUGUCUUGAGGUGAGGUAGGUGUCACUGACUGCCGACCCUUCCCUUGACCUCUCUUCCUCUUUUGAAUCUAUGCUGUUUUUUUCCUUUUAACUUCUUAAUUUGAGUAUUGUUCCUGAUAUUUGAUCUGGAAUUAUUUUUCUUAGAAAAAGCACGCACACACAUAUACACACUACUAAGGGCUUUCAAAAUACAAAAUCAGAAUGUUUUGCUGCUCUCGCAAAAGAAAAAAAAAAGUUUUACUGAAUCGUUUGUAAUAUUUUUGAACAACUGUGAUUUGUACAAAAUGGAGCUGGAAAAGGGUUGGAAAAGGUUAUCUGUUUCAGUGUUUCAAUGUUUGCUUGGCUUUUAAUAAAACUUAACUGAACUCUUUGAACUCAUUUCUUUGCGUUCUUUUAUUAUUAUUAUUUCUUAUGGAAUGUUAACUGUUAAUCAUAAAACGGUUACAUUAACAUAUUUUAGCCUUUUUUUAUGGAUUAAUCAUUUAAAAUGCAUGUAAAAGAGUAUAACUG
ensembl:lncRNA